UAGGUGCGAAGAUAAACGCGGUUCAGCUUUCUGAAAGAACAAGUGGAUCCGAUAUGGGAUACACCUGGACUUAUAUUCCACAUGGAACUCAUACGGACCCAUCAAAGCCAUCGUGUUCGAACAAAAUUCAGGAAAGCAGGAAUGUAUACAGGGUGUCUUUUGAUGUACGAGGAUUGGAUUCCCAGAUUACAAACGAGUACGAUCUUAACCAUCAUAACCCCCGAUCUACCAGUACCACUGAGAAGAGUGUUGUUUUCAACUCAAACAACUGAAUUGUAAUCCGGAUCUCCGCAUCUUUGGAAAAAGUCUACCAAUACGCCACUUUGCACAAAAUGCUGAUAAAUUGUAUGUACCAAUCGCAUGCUCAAUACAAUAAAAAUGGUUGAUA